CUUUUUUCCCUUCUUGUAGAGACUGCAGGAGUAAUUACUACCCUUUUCUUUUUCUUCUCCUGUCCUUUUUCCUCAAAGAGAAGAGCAACCAAUGAGGUGAUUUUUCACAGAUUGUACCCUGACAAUGUCUAAGGCUUCCUGGACUGGUCAUCAGGAUGGCGGGCUGGCCUCUGCUUCUUCCUUCUUCAUUGAAAUUCUCCUCCCUUUUACAGAAGAAGCCGACUGUCAGACUUUCACUCACAGAAAAAGACAGGACAAUGGAAAUCCAGCUUUCUACCUAGCACAUGAGGUUCUACAAUGCAUUGAAAGGAAAGAAAUAAAAUCAAUAGAAG
rnacentral:lncRNA from 1 species